UCUUCCGACGCCUCCUGCUGAAGACAGACUCACGUUUAACACUGCGUAGUGUACAGUGUGGAGGCUGAGGUCUGGGCUCGAAUCCGCUGGGGUGUAACUGCUGUGCCUUCUGGAUGAGAAUCCUGGAUCACGGAGACUGAGUGCUCCGUGGGGAUACAGUGGAUGGAGGAGUGUGAUCCAGCUAUGACACCACAGGCCAUGGCCAGUGUGCCCACCAGCUCAGCUCAGAGCAAACAGCCACCAAGCCGAAUGUACACUGUGGGUCUUCUGUGCCAAGUUUCACGCCAGCCAGCUGUUGUCAGCAAUGAGAGAAGACAGCGCCAGGCCAGAAGUCUCCGGAAACCCCACUCCAUGCACCUGGAUCCUGAAACUCUACCAUGAAUCAUUCGGCCAUUUUGCAGGUGGUUUUGCUUCAGAUCAACCAGUCUCUUUUAGAACCUUC